GCACUAUGGCCGGGAUCACCACCAUUGAGGCGGUGAAGAGCAAGAUCCGGGUUCUUCAGCAGCAGGCCGAUGAUGCAGAGGAGAGGGCCGAACGCCUCCAGCGGGAAGUGGAGGGAAAAAGGUGGGCUCGGGAACAGGCUGAAGCAGAGGUAGCCUCCUUGAACCAUAGGAUCCAGCUGGUUGAAGAGGAGCUGGACCGUGCACAGGAGCGCCUGGCCACUGCCCUGCAAAAGCUAGAGGAAGCUGAGAAAGCUGCUGAUGAGAGUGAGAGAGGUAUGAAGGUCAUUGAAAACCGGACCCUAAAAGAUGAAGAAAAGAUGGAGCUCCAGGAAAUCCAGCUGAAAGAAGCUAAACACAUUGCCGAAGAGGCAGACAGGAAGUACGAAGAGGUGGCUCGUAAGUUGGUGAUCGUUGAAGGAGAUUUGGAACGCACAGAGGAACGAGCUGAGCUGGCAGAGUCCCGUUGCCGGGAGAUGGAUGAGCAGAUCAGAGUGAUGGACCAGAACCUGAAGUGUCUGAGUGCUGCUGAAGAAAAGUACUCGCAAAAAGAAGACAAAUAUGAGGAAGAAAUAAAGAUUCUUACUGAUAAACUCAAGGAGGCGGAGACCCGCGCUGAGUUUGCUGAGAGAUCAGUAGCCAAACUGGAAAAGACCAUUGAUGACUUGGAAGAUAAGCUGAAAUGCACCAAAGAGGAGCACCUCUGUACACAAAGGAUGCUGGACCAGACUCUGCUUGACCUGAAUGAGAUGUAGAGCUCCCCCAGCCUGCCCUGCCGCUGCUCCUCCCUUUGACCCAACACACCACCUGAGGCCAGCCUGCCCGGAGCUGACCUCAAAACUGAGGGCUGAUCUUUAACUGGAAGGCUGCUUUCUCCUUUCUAUAUCCUCUCCCCACUCCCUACCCCCACCUCCUUGUCUUUUUCAUCAAACUGUCUCUGCCUCUUCCCAGAGAUUCCAGCUGGGCUAGAGGCUGAGCACCUUUGGGAACAACAUUUAAGGGAAUGUGAGCACAAUGCAAAGUGUCUUUAAAAGCAUGUUGUGAUGUACACAUUUGU